CCAUGUCCGGCCGCGAAGGUGGCAAGAAGAAGCCUCUGAAGCAGCCCAAGAAGCAGGCCAAGGAGAUGGAUGAGGAAGAUAAGGCAUUCAAGCAGAAACAGAAGGAGGAGCAGAAGAAACUCGAGGAGCUAAAAGCGAAGGCGGCGGGGAAGGGCCCCCUGGCCACAGGUGGAAUUAAGAAAUCGGGGAAAAAGUAAGCUGUUCCUUGUGCCUGAGGCAGUGGUGAUUGUUAAUUCCAUUCCUGUUUAAACAUCUGGAUUCCCUGCCAUAACAUCUGUUGCCACCUAUAAUUAGAAUGAAGUGUUGUCUUGGAGCCUGUUGUACAUUUAAGAAUAAAUUUUGUAAAAAAAAAAAAA